CAGCCGCCGCGGGAAUACGUAGGGUGCGAGCGUUAAUCGGAAUUACUGGGCGUAAAGCGUGCGCAGGCGGUUAUAUAAGACAGAUGUGAAAUCCCCGGGCUCAACCUGGGACCUGCAUUUGUGACUGUAUAGCUAGAGUACGGUAGAGGGGGAUGGAAUUCCGCGUGUAGCAGUGAAAUGCGUAGAUAUGCGGAGGAACACCGAUGGCGAAGGCAAUCCCCUGGUCCAUUACUGACGCUGAGGCGCGAAAGCGUGGGGAGCAAACAGGAUUAGAGACCCGCGUAGUCCCUGUCUCUUAUAC
rnacentral:rRNA from 1 species